UGCCAGCCGCCGCGGUAAUACUGAAGGUGCAAGCGUUAAUCGGAAUCACUGGGCGUAAAGCGCUCGUAGGUGGCUUUGUAAGUCAGAUGUGAAAGCCCACGGCUCAACCGUGGAAUUGCAUUUGAUACUGCAUCGCUAGAGUAUAGGAGAGGGGAAUUUCUAAUGGAGGGUUAAGUUCCGCAGAUAUUAGAAGGAACAUCAAAGGCGAAGGCAACUAUCUGGGCCCAUAUUGACGCUGAAUUACGAAGGCGUAGGUAGCGAACAGGAUUAGAUA
rnacentral:rRNA from 1 species